rnacentral:rRNA from 1 species
GAUGAACGCUGGCGGCGUGCCUAAUACAUGCAAGUCGAGCGAACAGACGAGGAGCUUGCUCCCCUGAUGUUAGCGGCGGACGGGUGAGUAACACGUGGAUAACCUACCUAUAAGACUGGGAUAACUUCGGGAAACCGGAGCUAAUACCGGAUAACAUGUUGAACCGCAUGGUUCAACAGUGAAAGACGGUCUUGCUGUCACUUAUAGAUGGAUCCGCGCCGCAUUAGCUAGUUGGUAAGGUAACGGCUUACCAAGGCAACGAUGCGUAGCCGACCUGAGAGGGUGAUCGGCCACACUGGAACUGAGACACGGUCCAGACUCCUACGGGAGGCAGCAGUAGGGAAUCUUCCGCAAUGGGCGAAAGCCUGACGGAGCAACGCCGCGUGAGUGAAGAAGGUCUUCGGAUCGUAAAACUCUGUUAUUAGGGAAGAACAAAUGUGUAAGUAACUAUGCACGUCUUGACGGUACCUAAUCAGAAAGCCACGGCUAACUACGUG